GAAAUUAAAAAAAAAAAUCAAUUCAUAAAGCAAAUAAAAAAAAAAAGAAUUUUUGAACGAAGAUCAGAAAGUUCCAUCGCAUAAGCACUGAAUAUUUUCUUGAUAACCAUGCCAAGAUGAAAACAGAUCAAAAGCAGGUAAAGAGCACUAGUUAGUUUGCUUCCCAUCACUCUGGAUGUGGUAUUCAGAAACAUAAAAUUGGUUUGACAUUGCCAAAUGUAGAAAAUUUCAAACAUGGGAACAUUUAAGGCCAGGACAUAUUAUCUAAGUUUCAGAUUCAGAGCAAUAGCCUAUCUUUCUGUGCAACUAAUGUGGCAUGUUUACAAUGAAGUACCUUACAUUCUCACUUGUAUUAAUGUGCCCCUUAUAAAGCCUUGGGCACUUCUCUACCCCACCCCCCCCCUACCAAGCUAGCUUUUGGGGGUAAGUUAG
rnacentral:misc_RNA from 1 species